CCGCGGUGGUCCCACCUGACCCCAUGCCGAACUCAGAAGUGAAACGCCGUAGCGCCGAUGGUAGUGUGGGGUCUCCCCAUGCGAGAGUAGGGAACUGCCAGGC
rnacentral:rRNA from 2 species